AUGUGUCCCGCGGUGAGGUUUGGGGAGGCGCGACCACAAUCCAGUAGGGAUCUCACCGCGGACCCGUCCGCUGGGAUGGGUGUUGCCUCCAUUGCGAAUGGGAUCGAAGGGAGGGACUACUUCGUCGUCAAAGUCGGCGAGGCAGCGGCCGAUUGGGAGCCCGGUUGUGAACAUGGGAGUUCGUCCCCAUGGAGGCAGCGGCCGUGGAGAUUGGAUGUGAAGCAACCCCACCUGCCGGUGGUGGAGGCUUGCCGUCCAUGUGAUCCUUUCUUCUCCCGGCAUCCACUACAUGUUUGGUAA
rnacentral:rRNA from 1 species